rnacentral:rRNA from 1 species
UGAGGAAUUCUGCGCAAUGGGGGAAACCCUGACGCAGCAAUGCCGCGUGAGUGAAGAAGGCCUUCGGGUCGUAAAGCUCUGUCAGAUGGGAAGAAGUUAUUAAUUAUUAAUAGUGGUUAGUAUUGACGGUACCAUCAAAGGAAGCACCGGCUAACUCCGUGCCAGCAGCCGCGGUAAUACGGAGGGUGCAAGCGUUAUUCGGAAUCAUUGGGCGUAAAGGGCGCGUAGGCGGUAUGUCAAGUCAGAUGUGAAAUCCCGGGGCUUAACUUCGGAGGGUCAUUUGAAACUGACAUACUUGAGUUCGGUAGAGGAAAGCGGAAUUCCUGGUGUAGCGGUGAAAUGCGUAGAUAUCAGGAGGAACAUCAGUGGCGAAGGCGGCUUUCUGGCCCGAUACUGACGCUGAUGCGCGAAGGCAUGGGUAGCAAACG